GCGGGGGUGGCCGAGCCAGGUCAAAGCCACGUAUGUUCGGCGACAAGAGGCGACGGGCCCAGGACCCGUUGGCGUAGGCCUGCGUGGGUUCAAAUCCCACCCCCCGCACCA
rnacentral:tRNA from 1 species